ensembl:lncRNA
UGUAAGAUCAAAAUUUGAAAAAUUUUGGAAACUGACAAUUAAAUAUUGACUCAACAAAUUGCUUUCAAAUAAUUAUCCCCAAACAAAAAGAUGCAUUGGGGUAAUUUUAGCUUAUGGUCUAAAGGUAAAAUUAAAAAAAUAGAUUCACUGAACAUAUUAAAUUGUGUUCAGCCAAUUCAUCAAGUAAAAGUGAAAUAUCUGUGUUUGCCGAACAAGCCUUGCGGAGAAAAAAAACGCAUGCGCAUGCCAGACAGGCGCAUGCACCUGAGAGAAACCGUUGGUAUAGUGGAUUCAAAUGUAUCUGCGCGGGAGAGUGAGGAGACUGAGGAGUCGAUGCUGAAGUACGACGACAGAAGUUCAGACAUCAUUUCCAAACAGAUUUUUCUUCAUUUAAGUUAUGCCAAACAUCGUAGGUCUGAGUUCAGGCUGCAUAAUUUACAAAGUGGUUGGCCAUUUUGUGUUAACACCCGUUUGACACAUACUCCGUCUGCAGUGCUUAUGUGCGUGUUGCAGUACAUGUAUGGCAAGCUAAAAGGCUCAGAAUUACGUAAUGUUAAUUAAAUCACUAUUUAUUAAUAGCAAUCUGUUAAUUAAUAAUUAAAUACUGUUGGGUUUCUCACACAAACCGAUCAUUUCGUGUCAGAUAUCAAUGUGUCAGUGACAGUAUUUAUAUCACAUUUUACCUCAAAUCAGCCGUCCCCACACCAUCACUUCUGGUAAGUGAGGUCAAAUUACACGAUAUGGCAUAGAGAUACGCACGAGAGAUCACUUCCGCCGCUUGCAUCCCAUUGAGAUACGCCAUAUUGUGUACAUGACUUUGGAACAGAGUAGAGUUAUAAAUUAUAUUCAAAUUAAAUGCAUAUGUGGUGAAAUUACUAGAUUUACUAGAAAUCAGAUACAUUUUAAAUUAAAACUUACAACAGGCUUGACAAAAACAGCCGAUUCUCA